CCUACGGGGGGCAGCAGUGGGGAAUAUUGCACAAUGGGCGAAAGCCUGAUGCAGCAACGCCGCGUGAGGGAUGACGGCCUUCGGGUUGUAAACCUCUUUUAGCAGGGAAGAAGCGAGAGUGACGGUACCUGCAGAAAAAGCGCCGGCUAACUACGUGCCAGCAGCCGCGGUAAU
rnacentral:rRNA from 1 species